AUUGAACGCUGGCGGCAGGCCUAACACAUGCAAGUCGAGCGAGCGGCGGACGGGUGAGUAAUGUCUGGGAAACUGCCUGAUGGAGGGGGAUAACUACUGGAAACGGUAGCUAAUACCGCAUACCAUCAGAUGUGCCCAGAUGGGAUUAGCUAGUAGGUGGGGUAACGGCGCACCAAGACGACGAUCCCUAGCUGGUCUGAGAGGAUGACCAGCCACUGUGGAAAGGAGAAACGGUCAAGACGCCUACGGGAGGCAGCAGUGGGGAAUAGUGCACAAUGGGCGCAAGCCUUAUGCAGCCAUGCCGCGUGUUUGAAGAAGGCCUUCGGGUUGUAAAGCACUUUCAGCGGGGAGGCGUUACCCGCAGAAGAAGCACCGGCUAACUCCGUGCCAGCAGCGGCGGUAAUUC
rnacentral:rRNA from 1 species